rnacentral:rRNA from 1 species
UCAUACGCUCGUCUCAAAGAUUAAGCCAUGCAUGUCUAAGUAUAAAUCUGUUACUUUGAAACUGCGAACGGCUCAUUAUAUCAGUUAUAGUUUAUUUGAUAGUCCCUUACUACUAGGAUAACCGUAGUAAUUCUAGAGCUAAUACAUGCGUCAACACCUUUGGGUGGUAUUUAUUAGAAAGAAACCAACCCCUUCGGGGUGAUGUGGUGAAUCAUAAUAAGUUUGCGAAUCGCACGGCUUUAUGCUGGCGAUGGAUCAUUCAAGUUUCUGCCCUAUCAGCUUUGGAUGGUAGGGUAUUGGCCUACCAUGGCUUUAACGGGUAACGGGAAAUUAGGGUUUGAUUCCGGAGAGGGAGCCUGAGAGAC